CUGGACGCUCCAUUUGGUGGCCAGGGACCGCACGCUACCCAGCUCCCUCCAGCCUGAGGCAUCCGGGCCUGGCACCGGAAUCUGCACUUUAAAUGCCUUGGAAGAGCCAGGCCGCUGGCCAUUUGGGGGUGCUAGCUGCGAUUCCCGCUUUCUGAGCCGGCGGAGGGGCCCCUUCGGGCUAAGAAGGUAUCACAGUGGAAGGCCCUUGGGGGGCGGUCCCCACACCAGACUCACCUUCAGAUUCCAGACAUCGGAGCCCCCCGCCCCCCGCCCCGGUAAUCCCAGCCUCCCAGGAGCAAGGUGCUGAGGCUCUUCGCUGGGUUAAGUUCUCAGCUGGGAGACGGUGGUCCCGGCUGCCCGCCUGGUGGAAGGCUUUGUUCAGACAGGCUCGCGCAGGCAGGAGGGGGAUGGAGGUAUGACGGUCGUCUGCAUUUACGUUCCAGGGGACUGAGGCUGGCAGAGCAAGCGGCUCACUGACUGUAUUUAUGGCACAGGCCAGAAGGAGCAUCCCUGUUCUGUCCCUCGCCUGGCCAAGCAGUCACGUCACGGGCGCCCGGUCCCUGCGUGUCCGUGGGGCCAGGCUCUCUGGAGAGGCAGGUGUUCGUCCUGCAGCGUGAGGCCCGGCCGCUGGUGUGGACGCCUCCCGGAGUCCCCUCCCUCUCCAGCGCCUGCACAGCCAUCAUGGAAGACGGGAGCGGGCCGGGCAGCCCCAGCGCCGUGGCCCUGGUUCCCAGUGAUGCCGUCCCCAGCCCCGAGUACAAGAUGGUCUCGGUCUUCCUGGUUCCUUGUGUGCGUCGUGGGCAUUGUGGGCAACGCCGUGGUGGUGCUGACCACACGGGACAUGCACACGCCCACCAACUGCUCCCUGGUCAGCCUGGCCCUGGCAGACCUUACUGUGCUGGUGGCUGCCGGGCUGCCCACCGUCUCCCAAAGCUUGGCUGGGCAGUGGGUCUGCGGCCACGCCAGCUGCCUGGGCAUCACCUGCUUGCGGUACCUGGGCAUCCGUGCCUCCAACUCCUCCGUCCCGGCGUUCGCCGCGGAGAGGGAGGUACACCCCAACCCCUCCUGCAGGCCAGGACUUCCUGGCCACGAGCCUUGGUAAACUGAGUCUGCUCCCCAUUUAUGGAGGGGACGCUGUGUGGGACCCUGCAGGAAACCGGCAAGGGCGGGGGCAGGCGCCGGGAAGCGGGCCUCUCAUCUCACCUCUGCUACUGACUUGCUGCGGGAUGCCAAGGCAACCCUGCACUUCUCUGGGCUUGGUGUCCCCACCGGGAACGUGGGCACUGGGACUGGACAGUCUCUUGGGCCUCUUCCAGCUAUGAAAUUAACACCUGAGAGGCCAUCUAGCCUCUAAGCAUGUGGACGCUGAAACCCACUGACCGGGUUCAAGCCCAGCUCUGCCUCUUCCCAGCUGCGUGGCCUUCAGCACAUUGGCCCAGAGGGUUAGGAUGUCUCGUCCAGGGCUACACAGAACGGGGACAUAAGCGAGGCCUUCUGACAUCCAUACACUGGCCCGGUCCCGGUUCUCCCCUGCUGUGCCCAUCUAGGGUAGCAAUGUCCUUGACCCCUCCGCCUGUGACCUUUGGCGGUGGACAGUAGAAAACCCACCCUGGGAUUUGCACGAAGGUCAAGGUCUUCGCAAGGGCACUCUGAACCUUGUGGGCCUGGCCGGACCUCGAGGGGCUGCACCUUCUGACUCGGCCCUGCCGUCCCCUCAAGACCGGCACCUUUGCUCUGCCAGUCCCCGAAGCUGCCUCAUCACGGCGUCCCAGGUCCCCUAUGAAAGGGGCAGUUCCACCGUCGCGCCCACAUUUGGUUCCCCAUCGGGGAAUCUGAUUAGCUGAGUGGACCACCCUCCAUGGCCCAAUCCCAGGGGUCGGCAGGUGGGUCAGGUGACUGCCCUGUGGCCUACAGGUGCCUCGCCAUCUGACACCCAAAGCGGCCACAGGCCGUGUGCAUCGUGGCCGGCGUCUGGGGCACCACGUCCGUCUACUGCCUGCUCUGGUUCUUCCCGGUGGCCUUGGACGCUGACGGGCACCAGGAGCCACAGCCUGUUCCUGCCCAUCUGCCUGCUGGACUUCACCGUCUUCUUUGUUACGCCCUGCUGGAGGUCUCAUAGGGAGGGUCUUGUUCCAGAGCUCCCCGGCCCACCUGCCACAGCUCGGGGACCAGCUCGGGGGCCAGCACGGGGGUGAUGAGGACUGGCCAGAGCCCGGAACCCAGGGGAGGCAGCUCUGUGGGCCAGGCGGGGUGCAGCGGGCAGCUGCUCCGGGGCCAGAGGCUCCCCUUCUUCCAGGAAGCAGGUCACCCCGAUGCUGGUGGUAGUCGUGCCACUCUUUGCCGUCCGUGGAUGCCCUACUGCACACUGGUGCUCCUCUACUCCUUUGUGGCCCGGCCUUUCCUGGACCCCUGGGGGCUCCUCUUGUGCUGCACCUGUGUCUACACCAACAGCGCCAUCAGCCCCGUCAUCUACAGCCUCACGUCCCCGAAGUUCCGGCUGCCUUCCAGCGGCUGUGCAGGGGCGGGAUGGAGGAGCCAGAGAGGCGCACGGCUGGCCUCAGCUCCACCAGCUACGGCGUGGACCCCAGAAGACGCAGACCCGCGGGAGUGAGGUCACGGGCCCUCAGGCAGCUGGGCCCCCACUCCAGGAGCAGGGGCCUGGUUUCAGCACCGUCGGAGGGCUGCCCUCCCCCUGCCCAGCCCCUCUCGCCUCCCUCGGUUUGCUCCUGUGCUGGGUCCUGUCCGCUGGUGGCUGGCAGGGCCAGGAGAGGGGAGACACUCCUUUGUCAACGGCUCUUCUAGGUCCCCAGUGCCUUCCCUCCCCAUGAACGAGGACUGGUCACGUGUCCUAGUUCUGGCCCAGUGGCUGGACUCCAUUUGGGUAGCUCCCUCCCCUCCUCUGGAAGUGGGGGGGGGGUAGGAGCAGGAAGAAGCUGGGAGGAUGCCAGCCUUCACUGGUGUAAAGUUGGGACCUUCCAUCUGUUAUUAUUCAUUCGUUUAAGCACUCUGUUUUCCACCUGAUGGGUAUUACAGCAAUGCAUUUCCAGUCUCUCAUGAUAGCCUGUGUCAGUCUGGCUGUGGGCAGAGCCCGUGUUGCGACGUUUUCCAAGCGGGACGGUGCCACCUGGUACCACAUAGAAAGGGUACGCAGCUCUACCGCUGACACCCAGACACCGCUGGCAGACUCGCCACUCACAUGUGCUGAGGCUGGCCGGUACCCGGGCCUCCGGCCUCCUCCCCUUUGAGCUCUGUCUGUCCCUGGACCACAAGCCCUGAGUGGUGCUGCCUUGGGUCACAGAGCAGAGCGCUGUGUUUCUUUGGGGCCCUCAGCCAGAAACAGGAAGCCUUCCUGAACCCCCUCGCCCGAGGUGUUCAAGCUCUGCUCUCGUGGGGCCCGCUUUGCUGACCACCGCCCUCUACACCCAGCACCGGAGGGGCAGGUCAGGGCGUGGGACGGCCAGGCCCCAGGCUUCUCUCGGACUCCAUCUCUUUUGUGGGUGGAACACUGCAGCCAAAGGCAUUGACAAUUCAGGCGUCAGGUGGCAGAAGCAGCCCUCCGCGGGGGAGCCAGAUGUGUUUCUGGGCCAGCUGGGGCGUGGGACCGUUGCCUGGCCCGGUUCUCAGAACCUCAGGCCUCAGUUUCUUCCCGCCACUUCCCAGGCGAGACUCUGUAUGGAAAGUGCUUUCAAAGUCGCGGGCGGGGACACAGAUCAGCGGUUGUCACCUCUCCUGUGACUCCAAGCUCCGCUGGGCCGAGGGCCACAUGCGAGCGGCCAGGACCUGGGACCCCAGAGCUAGCCCUCAGGUCAAGGGCCCGGCGGGCGGCCUGCUGCUAUGCGUUGAGCCGUCCGGGCCCCGGGGGAGGACGUGGCGUAUUUACAGGGGCCGGAUGGUGUCGGCCAAGCAGUACGAACUGAUGCCCGGCCUUCCAUUGGUGCUCGCGGCUGUCCAUCCUGCUGAUCCACCAAUGAGGGGAGAGCGUGGGUGUCAGUGGGUGUGACCGUGGUCACGUGACAGCCGCAGCGGGCGGGCCCCUCUGGCUCCUUGCCUGCUGCCUGUCCACGCCGGACCCUCCUCCUGGUGGUCCUUACCGACGGUCAGGGGCUCCAGGCCAGCCUGCUACAAGCAGCCGUUCUAACGCAGCAAUGACUCUGUCAAGGGGGACCUCCAGUUCUCCCGGUUUUACUGAUGAGGAAACAGGCCAGGAGACCUUCAGGCGGCCACCUGUCCCCUGUGGGUGAGCCGCUGAACUCCUGACCGCAAAGC